rnacentral:rRNA from 1 species
GUGAGGAAUAUUGCGCAAUGGAGGCAACUCUGACGCAGCCAUGCCGCGUGCAGGAAGAAGGCGCUACGCGUUGUAAACUGCUUUUAACCGGGAAGAAACCCCAGGACGUGUCCUGGGUUGACGGUACCGGAGGAAUAAGCACCGGCUAACUUCGUGCCAGCAGCCGCGGUAAUACGAAGGGUGCAAGCGUUAUCCGGAUUCAUUGGGUUUAAAGGGUGCGUAGGCGGAGCGUUAAGUAAGUGGUGAAAUCCUGCAGCUUAACUGUGGACUUGCCAUUGAUACUGGCGCUCUUGAGUGCGCUUGAAGUGGGCGGAAUGUGCCGUGUAGCGGUGAAAUGCUUAGAUAUGGCACAGAACACCAAUUGCGAAGGCAGCUCACUAAGGCGAUACUGACGCUGAGGCACGAAAGCGUGGGGAUCGAACAGGAUUAGAAACCCGGGUAGUCC